rnacentral:rRNA from 1 species
UCCGGAAUUAUUGGGUUUAAAGGGUCCGUAGGCGGAUGAUUAAGUCAGGGGUGAAAGCCUGCAGCUCAACUGUAGAAYUGCCUUUGAUACUGGUCAUCUUGAGUUGUAUUGAAGUAGGCGGAAUAUGUAGUGUAGCGGUGAAAUGCAUAGAUAUUACAUAGAACACCAAUUGCGAAGGCAGCUUACUAAGUACUWACUGACGCUGAUGGACGAAAGCGUGGGUAGCGAACAGGAUUAGAUACCCUGGUAGUCCACGCCGUAAACGAUGRAUACUAGCUGUU